GAUGAAGAACGUAGCGAAAUGCGAUAAGUAAUGCGAAUUGCAGAAUCCGUGAGUCAUCGAAUCUUUGAACGCAUAUUGCGCCCUUUGGCAUUCCGAAGGGCAUGCCUGUUCGAGCGUCAUUACAACCCUCAAGCUCAGCUUGGUGUUGGGCCCCGCCGCCCCGGCGGGCCCUAAAGUCAGUGGCGGUGCCGUCCGGCUCCGAGCGUAGUAAUUCUUCUCGCUCUGGAGGUCCGGUCGUGUGCUCGCCAGCAACCCCCAAUUUUUUUCAGGUUGACCUCGGAUCAGGUAGGGAUACCCGCUGAACUUAAGCAUAUCAAUAAGCGGAGGA
rnacentral:misc_RNA from 1 species